rnacentral:misc_RNA from 1 species
AAGUCGUAACAAGGUUUCCGUAGGUGAACCUGCGGAAGGAUCAUUAACACGUAUCCAACGUUAAACCCCCCGUGAACCUUCAGCAAUCCCUGGUAAAUCAUUGACGAACAGUUUUGAUUCAGGGACUUCUGCGUAGACUGUGCUUGAGCGUGAGGCAAGUGGCCUGGCAUUCCUCUGCUUGUUGGUGUCUGAAAGUGUCACCAGCUCUGUACGAAUGGCGCAGUCACGAUCGCUAGAGGCCGACACGGCCGGCGACCGGGUCACUGGGCGCGAGCCCCCCUCGUCACCUUUGCAUGAAAACGGGCCUGCGCUUAAUUGUGCGGCCACCAAACUCGAACAACUGUUAACAAUGGAUAUCUUGGUUCUC